UCACUCUGGUUUCCCUUCAUAACGUAUAAAUCUUUCGCCUUUUACUAAAGAUUUCCGUGGAGGGGAACACUCAAAUGAGUCUUUAAAUAUUUUUGAAUGCUCUGCUCACGCAGGGCU